rnacentral:rRNA from 1 species
UAAAACAAUGCCCUCGCGGGCUUUUUAGGUGAUUCAUAAUAACUUCUCGAAUCGCAUGGCCUUGCGCCGGCGAUGCUCAAAUUUCUGCCCUAUCAACUUUCGAUGGCAGGGUCUUGGCCUGCCAUGGUUACAACGGGUAACGGAGGGUUAGGGCUCGACCCCGGAGAAGGAGCCUGAGAAACGGCUACUACAUCCAAGGAAGGCAGCAGGCGCGCAAAUUACCCAAUCCCGACACGGGGAGGUAGUGACAAUAAAUACUGAUACAGGGGCUCUUUUGGGUCUUGUAAUUGGAAUGAGUACAAUUUAAAUCCCUUAACGAGGAACAAUUGGAGGGCAAGUCUGGUGCCAGCAGCCGCGGUAAUUCCAGCUCCAAUAGCGUAUAUUAAAGUUGUUGCAGUUAAAAAGCUCGUAGUUGAACCUUGGGCCUGGCUGGCCGGUCCGCCUCACCGCGUGCACUGGUUCGGCCGGGCCUUUCCCUCUGGGGAGCCCUAUGCCCUUCACUGG